GACGAACGCUGGCGGCGUGCUUAACACAUGCAAGUGGAGCGACGAACCAGACUUCGGUCUGGGGCAGAGCCGCGAACGGGUGAGUAACACGUGGGUAACCUGCCCUGAUGAUUGGAAUAACCCGAGGAAACUCGAGCUAAUACCAAAUGUGCCCUUCGACCAUAAGGUCGAUGUGUAAAGAUAGCUUCGGCUUCCGCAUCAGGAUGGGCCCGCGGCCCAUUAGCUUGUUGGUGAGGUAACGGCUCACCAAGGCGACGAUGGGUAGCUGGUCUGAGAGGACGAUCAGCCACACUGGGACUGAGACACGGCCCAGACUCCUACGGGAGGCAGCAGUGGGGAAUCUUGCGCAAUGCGCGAAAGCGUGACGCAGCAACGCCGCGUGGGGGAAGAAGGCCUUCGGGUUGUAAACCCCUUUCAGGAGGGACGAAGCCAUGGCGGUUAAUAGCCGUUCAUGGUGACGGUACCUUCAGAAGAAGCCCCGGCUAACUUCGUGCCAGCCGCCGCGGUAAUAC
rnacentral:rRNA from 1 species